rnacentral:rRNA from 1 species
GAUGAACGCUGGCGGCGUGCUUAACACAUGCAAGUCGAACGAAGCAUAAAAUGGAGUUCUUCGGAACAAAGUUUUAUGACUUAGUGGCGGACGGGUGAGUAACGCGUGGGUAACCUGCCUUAUACAGGGGGAUAACAGUUGGAAACGACUGCUAACACCGCAUAAGCGCACAGUAUCGCAUGAUACGGUGUGAAAAACUUUAGUGGUAUAAGAUGGACCCGCGUCUGAUUAGCUAGUUGGUGAGGUAAUGGCUCACCAAGGCGACGAUCAGUAGCCGACUUGAGAGAGUGAUCGGCCACAUUGGGACUGAGACACGGCCCAAACUCCUACGGGUGCUG